CACGCCCUAAACGAUGUCAACUAGGUGUUGGGAGGGUAAAACCUUUUAGUACCGGAGCUAACGCGUGAAGUUGACCGCCUGGGGAGUACGGCCGCAAGGUUAAAACUCAAAGGAAUUGACGGGGACCCGCACAAGCGGUGGAUGAUGUGGUUUAAUUCGAUGCAACGCGAAAAACCUUACCCACCUUUGACAUGUACGGAAUCCUUUAGAGAUAGAGGAGUGCUCGAAAGAGAGCCGUAACACAGGUGC
rnacentral:rRNA from 1 species